rnacentral:rRNA from 1 species
AUUCCAGCUCCAAUAGCGUAUAUUAAAGUUGUUGCAGUUAAAAAGCUCGUAGUUGAACUUCUGGCUAUUCUUCCAGCUGGCUUCGGUCGCUGUAAGAGUGGUCAUCCGCUUGGGAACUACGUUCGAACUUCACUGUUCGGCGUAAGGAACAGGCAUUUUACUUAGAAAAAAUUAGAGUGUUCAAGGCAGGCUAUCGCCCUGAAUACACAAGCUUGGAAUAAUGAAAUAGGACUAUUUCCAUUUUAUUGGUUAUUGGAAUUAGUAAUGAUUAAUAGGGACAGUUGGGGACAUUAGUAUUUAAUUGUCAGAGGUGAAAUUCUUGGAUUUAUUAAAGACUAACUUAUGCGAAAGCAUUUGUCAAGGAUGUUUUCAUUG